CCUACGGGAGGCAGCAGUGGGGGAUAUUGCACAAUGGGGGGAACCCUGAUGCAGCGACGCCGCGUGGGUGAAGGAGCGUUUCGGCGCGUAAAGCCCUAUCGGCAGGGAAGAAGGAGGACGGUACCUGACUAAGAAGCCCCGGCUAACUACGUGCCAGCAGCCGCGGUAAUACGUAGGGGGCAAGCGUUAGCCGGAUUUACUGGGUGUAAAGGGGGCGCAGACGGCAGCGCAAGCCAGGGGUGAAAGCCCGGGGCCCAACCCCGGGACUGCUUUUGGAACUGCGCGGCUGGAGUGCAGGUGGAGCAGGCGGAAUGCGGGGUGUAGCGGUGAAAUGCGUAGAUAUCAGGAGGAACACCGAGGGCGAAGGCAGCCUGCUGAUCGGCAACUGACGUUGAUGCCCGAAAGCGUGGGUAGCGAACAGGAUUAGAUACCCGGGUAGUC
rnacentral:rRNA from 1 species